CAAGUCUGGUGCCAGCAGCCGCGGUAAUUCCAGCUCCAAUAGCGUAUAUUAAAAUUGUUGCAGUUAAAAAGCUCGUAGUUGAAUUUCUGCUGCAUUGCCCUUUCUCCUAUACGAGCUUGGGCCUUGUGGCUUAUCUGGGUUCGCUUGCGUUCCCGGUGUUUUACUUUGAGAAAAUUAGAGUGCUCAAAGCAGGCUUUUGCCUUGAAUAGUUUAGCAUGGAAUAAUAAAGUAGGACUUUGGUUCUAUUUUGUUGGUUUUAGGUACCAAAGUAAUGGUUAAUAGGAACAGUUGGGGGCAUUCGUAUUUAACUGUCAGAGGUGAAAUUCUUAGAUUUGUUAAAGACGAACUACUGCGAAAGCAUUUGCCAAGGAUGUUUUCAUUAAUCAAGAACGAAAGUUAGGGGAUCGAAGACGAUCAGAUACCGUCGUAGUCCUAACCAUAAAC
rnacentral:rRNA from 1 species